rnacentral:rRNA from 1 species
GCGGCGUGCCUAAUACAUGCAAGUCGAACGCACUGACGUCGACAGAAGGUGCUUGCACUGGAAGUUGAUUGACGUGAGUGGCGGACGGGUGAGUAACACGUGGGUAACCUGCCCUUAAGCGGGGGAUAACAUUUGGAAACAGAUGCUAAUACCGCAUAAAAGUUGAGAUCACAUGGUCUUAAUUUGAAAGACGGCCUUUGGCUGUCACUUAAGGAUGGACCCGCGGCGUAUUAGCUAGUUGGUGAGAUAAUAGCCCACCAAGGCGAUGAUACGUAGCCGACCUGAGAGGGUAAUCGGCCACAUUGGGACUGAGACACGGCCCAAACUCCUACGGGAGGCAGCAGUAGGGAAUCUUCCACAAUGGACGAAAGUCUGAUGGAGCAACGCCGCGUGAGUGAAGAAGGUUUUCGGAUCGUAAAACUCUGUUGUUGGAGAAGAACAGGGACUAGAGUAACUGUUAGUCCUUUGACGGUAUCCAACUAGAAAGCCACGGCUAACUACGUGCCAGCAGCCGCGGUAAUACGUAGGUGGCAAGCGUUGUCCGGAUUUAUUGGGCGUAAAGCGAGCGCAGGCGGUUUCUUAAGUCUGAUGUGAAAGCCUUCGGCUUAACCGAAGAAGUGCAUCAGAUACUGGGAAACUUGAGUGCAGAAGAGGAAAGUGGAACUCCAUGUGUAGCGGUGAAAUGCGUAGAUAUAUGGAAGAACACCAGUGGCGAAGGCGGCUUUCUGGUCUGUAACUGACGCUGAGGCUCGAAAGUAUGGGGAGCGAACAGGAUUAGAUACCCUGGUAGUCCAUACCGUAAACGAUGAAUGCUAAGUGUUGGAGGGUUUCCGCCCUUCAGUGCUGCAGCUAACGCAUUAAGCAUUCCGCCUGGGGAGUACGACCGCAAGGUUGAAACUCAAAGGAAUUGACGGGGGCCCGCACAAGCGGUGGAGCAUGUGGUUUAAUUCGAAGUUACGCGAAGAACCUUACCAGGUCUUGACAUCUAGCGCCAAUCCUAGAGAUAGGACGUUCCCUUCGGGGACGCUAAGACAGGUGGUGCAUGGUUGUCGUCAGCUCGUGUCGUGAGAUGUUGGGUUAAGUCCCGCAACGAGCGCAACCCUUAUGAUUAAUUGCCAGCAUUUAGUUGGGCACUCUAAUCAGACUGCCGGUGACAAACCGGAGGAAGGUGGGGA